CUGCUGCCUCCCGUAGGAGUCUGGGCCGUAUCUCAGUCCCAAUGUGGCCGGUCAACCUCUCAGUCCAGCUACUGAUCGUCGCCUAGGUGGGCCGUUACCCCGCCUACCAGCUAAUCAGACGCGAGGCCAUCUUCCAGCGAUAAAUCUUUGACAUGUCCGUGAUGCCACGGUCAUGUGUCAUGCGGUAUUAGCAGUCGUUUCCAACUGUUGUCCCCCUCUGGAAGGCAGGUUCCUCACGCGUUA
rnacentral:rRNA from 1 species